rnacentral:tRNA from 1 species
GCCACCUUAGCUCAGUUGGUAGAGCGAUCCCUUCGUAAGGGAGCGGUCAUCGGUUCAAGUCCGAUAGGUGGCUCCA